AUGGCCAAGGUUGACCACAUGGACGACGACUCGUGGAUGCUUGCUGUUGACAUGAGGAACAAGACUCUGAAAGGAGUGGCUGCUCUCACCAGUAAAAGAAGCUUGGGUUUUAGAUUCAUGUACCUGCAAAGUGACCUCUCCAACCAUCUGGUGGCCACAAGCGAAAACACCGAGGUCUUCAACCUUCCGCCCAAAAGCAAAAGAAAGAAGAAUCCUUCUAAAACUGCCAAGCAACAACCUGGGAAGACUCUUGCUAACAGCUGUCGUGUGGAACAAGAAGAACAGGAGCUGAGGAUACUCGAGCCUCGAGUUAUUACUAUUCAGCCCCCCUCUGUACCUAAGGAGGACUCUGUUGGCAUAUUACCUCCAGGACAGGGGUCUGAUGUGCCAGAAGGCAUUGGUGCUGCUUCCGCAAAUGUGAGUGCACCAAGAUCAUUUACCCUGGAGGUCAAGAAUGACGGCGCUGGAGAUGCCAACGAGAAAACUAAGGAGACAAGUGCAAGCAAUGCCACUGGCCUAGCAUCUCUAGGACCAUUAUCCCCGUCUGAUGAAGGCGCGGUCUUGAAUAAUGACUUGAUAGAGAAAACAGAUGGCUAUCUCUCUGAUGAACAUUCAUUUGAACACAACCAAAAUGCAGAUUCAAAUGGUGAUAUGUCUACUACAGCGUAUCAGUUGGAAGACUUGACCAUACAUGAGGAAAACAGACCAAAACCAUCUGAUGAUAACCCAGCUGUAAUAAUCCCAGGCCACCUUCAGGUUUCCAAUGCUGAUUUUGCGCACUUGACAUUUGGUAGUUUUGUGUCUGGGACACUCGAUGCAUCAUGCUCCAUGAUGCCUGCCAAUGCACCAGCAAUGCCGCCUUUCCGUGAGUUGGAUCCAGCAUUCUCACUGCUGCUUACUAACCCUCCAUUGGCUACAAUGGUUCAUGGUACACCACAAUCGUCCAUGAACAAUGCAACUGUUUCUUCACAGCCACAAGAGAAUGUUAAUCAAGGUGGUUUAUCCAACCCACAGUUGACCCACUCUCAGGGAAGCACCGGCAUUGCCCCAGGUCCUCCUCUGCCUCACCAUCUUGCUGCCCUUCAUCCUUAUGCUCAAGGAGGGCUUCCCCUUGGAUAUGAAAACAUGAUCGGAUACCCAUCUUUGCCGCAAAGCUAUGUGUAUCUCCCGCCUGCUGCCUAUCAGCAAGCAUACAUGAACAGUGGUCUAUUCCACCAAGGCGCAGCUGCAGCUCCCAACUCGGGCGUAAAAUACCCAAUGCCACAAUACAAGAGCAAUGUUCCUCUUGGGAGCCUUCCACAGCCAGCCUCGAUGCUCUCCAACUACGUUGGAGGUUUCGGAACUGCAAAUGGCAUGCCUCAAAACUUUGCCCUGAACCAAAGCAAUCCGUCGGCAACCACAGCUCCUGGGUUUGAUGGAGCAAUGCCCUCCCAAUACAAGGAUGGAAACCCCUACAUGUCUCUACAGCAGGGCGAGAACCCUGCAAUGUGGAUGCAUGGAGCUGGUUCGCGAGGAAUGCCGCCUCUUGCUGCCAACCCCUUGUAUGGCUAUCAAGGGCAGCAGGGCUACCAGGGGCAGCAGGGCCACCAGGGCGGCCUUAGGCAGGGGCAGAUGCCGUCGCAGUACGGCACAACGCUCGGGCAGUCGCAGCCAGGCCUAGGACCCGAACACCGAAGCCCCAGCGACGGAAACUGA
rnacentral:rRNA from 1 species